CCAAGCUACUAAGGGUCAACGGUGAAUGCCUUGGCGCCUACUACCGAAGAAGGACGUGGACGGCUGCGAAAAGCCACGGGGAUCUGCCUAUCUAGAGUUGAUCCGUGGAUAUCCGAAUAGGGAAACCUGGUACUCGUAACGGAGUACCACGCCGGUCUGAAUACAUAGGGCCGGCCGAGGGAACCGGGUGAAUUGAAACAUCUAAGUAACCCGAGGAAAAGAAAGCAAAAGCGACACCCCGAGUAGCGGCGAGCGAAACGGGUAGAGCCUAAACCAUUCUGGUGUCAAGCCUGACGGCAUUGCCAGGGUGGGGUCGUGGGACCGAAUAGGAGGGGCGUCAGACCUUCCACAGAGUUACAAAUCUGUCAGUUAGCAGAAGUGUUUUGGAAAAGCACGCCGCAGUGGGUAAUAGCCCCGUAAGCGAAAACUGUACAGACUCUGUUUCGUCAUCCCGAGUAACACCGGAUCCGGGAAAGCCGGUGUGAAUCUGCGAGGACCACCUCGUAAGGCUAAGUAUAGGUAGGCGACCGAUAGUGAACUAGUACCGUGAGGGAAAGGUGAAAAGUACCCCGGGAGGGGAGUGAAAUAGUACCUGAAACCGUUGAUCUACAAUCAGUCAAAGCGUCGUCUCGAGUUUACUCGAGGCCGCAAUGGCGUGCCUUUUGAAGAAUGAGCCAACGAGUUACGGUGUGUGGCAAGGUUAACCCGUGAGGGGAAGCCGGAGCGAAAGCGAGUCUGAAUAGGGCGUUCAGUCGCAUGCUGUAGACCCGAAGCUGAGUGAUCUAUCCAUGGGCAGUGUGAAGCGGAGGUAAGACUCCGUGGAGGCGCGAACCGACCUAGGUUGAAAACUGGGCGGAUGACCUGUGGAUAGGGGUGAAAGGCCAAUCAAACUCAGUGAUAGCUGGUUCUCCGCGAAAUGCAUUUAGGUGCAGCGUCGUAUGUUCAGCCAUGGAGGUAGAGCACUGGAUGGGUUAGGGGGCCUACAAGCUUACCAACCCCAGCCAAACUCCGAAUGCCAUGGCUCCAGAGUACGGCAGUGAGUCCUCGGGGGAUGAGCUUCGAUGGACGAGAGGGAAACAGCCCAGACCGCCGACUAAGGUCCCAAAGUUAAGACUAAGUGGUAAACGAAGUGGGAUUGCCCAGACAGCCAGGAUGUUGGCUUAGAAGCAGCCAUCAUUUAAAGAGUGCGUAACAGCUCACUGGUCGAGUGGUCCCGCGCGGAAAAUGUAACGGGGCUCAAGUCUUACACCGAAGUCGCGGAUUUCUACUUUUAAGUAGGAGUGGUAGCGGAGCGUCGAGUCUGCAGUGAAGCGCCGGUGAAAACCGUCGUGGAGCGGGCUCGAGCGAGAAUGUUGGCAUAAGUAGCGAGAGAGGGGUGAGAAACCCCUCCGCCGAAAAUCCAAGGGUUCCUGGGCAAGGCUAAUCCUCCCAGGGUAAGUCGGGAGCUAAGGCGAGGCCGAGAGGCGUAGUCGAUGCACAACCGGUUGAUAUUCCGGUACCACGGAUUGCGCGUAAAACGCCAACCCACGGUUGCUAAGGGGAUGUCUAGUCCUUCGGGACUAGAAGGAACUGACCCACUGUGGUUAGGUGAGUGAUGCAGGGACGCAGGAAGGUAAAUGAACCCAGGCGAUGGUUGUCCUGGGGCAAGCGUGUAGGUCGAGGCGUAGGUAAGUCCGCUCCUCAUAAAGACUGAGACGUGAUGCCGAGCCGUUUUAGGCGAAGUCAUUGAUCCUAUGCUGCCGAGAAAAGCUGCUAGCGAGUGCAAUCAGUGCCCGUACCCCAAACCAACUCAGGUGGAUAGGUAGAGAAUACCAAGGCGAUUGGGAGAACUAUGGUUAAGGAACUCGGCAAAAUACAUCCGUAACUUCGGGAUAAGGAUGACCUCAUUAGGGUUACAGGCUUUACGCCUGGAAGCUCGAAGAGGUGGCACAGACCAGAGGAAAGCGACUGUUUACUAAAAACACAGCAGCGUGCUAAGUCCUAAGACGACGUAUACGCUGUGACGCCUGCCCGGUGCUGGAAGGUUACGGGGAAAGGUUAGCCUUCGGGCGAAGCUUUGAACCUAAGCCCCAGUAAACGGCGGCCGUAACUAUAACGGUCCUAAGGUAGCGAAAUUCCUUGUCGGGUAAGUUCCGACCUGCACGAAUGGCGUAACGACUUUCCUACUGUCUCAACCAUAGACCCAGCGAAAUUGAAGU
rnacentral:rRNA from 1 species